rnacentral:rRNA from 1 species
ACACAUGCAGUCGAGGGGUAACAGAAAAGCUUGCUUUUGCUGACGACCGGCGCACGGGUGCGUAACGCGUAUGCAACCUACCUCAUACUGGAGGAUAGCCCCUGGAAACGGGGAUUAAUACUCCAUAGUAUCACAAUUUCGCAUGUUAUUGUGAUUAAAGUUUUUCGGUAUGAGAUGGGCAUGCGUCCCAUUAGCUUGUUGGUGAGGUAACGGCUCACCAAGGCAACGAUGGGUAGGGGGCCUGAGAGGGUGGUCCCCCACACUGGUACUGAGACACGGACCAGACUCCUACGGGAGGCAGCAGUGAGGAAUAUUGGUCAAUGGAGGAAACUCUGAACCAGCCAUGCCGCGUGAAGGAUGACGGCCCUAUGGGUUGUAAACUUCUUUUAUAGAGGAAGAAACUUGUCUACGUGUAGACAACUGACGGUACUCUACGAAUAAGGAUCGGCUAACUCCGUGCCAGCAGCCGCGGUAAUACGGAGGAUCCAAGCGUUAUCCGGAUUCAUUGGGUUUAAAGGGUCCGUAGGCGGAUUUUUAAGUCAGUGGUGAAAGCCGACAGCUCAACUGUCGAACUGCCAUUGAUACUGGAAAUCUUGAGUACAAAUGAAGUAGGCGGAAUGAGUCAUGUAGCGGUGAAAUGCAUAGAUAUGACUCAGAACACCGAUUGCGAAGGCAGCUUACUAACAUGUAACUGACGCUGAGGGACGAAAGCGUGGGGAGCGAACAGGAUUAGAUACCCUGGUAGUCCACGCCGUAAACGAUCAUCACUCGCUGUUGGCGAUAUACUGUCAGCGGCCAAGCGAAAGUAUUAAGUGAUGCACCUGGGGAGUACGCCGGCAACGGUGAAACUCAAAGGAAUUGACGGGGGCCCGCACAAGCGGUGGAGCAUGUGGUUUAAUUCGAUGAUACGCGAGGAACCUUACCAGGGCUUAAAUGUAGUUUGACCGGCUUGG